rnacentral:rRNA from 1 species
UACGAAGGGGGCUAGCGUUGCUCGGAAUUACUGGGCGUAAAGGGCGCGUAGGCGGCACUGUUAGUCAGGCGUGAAAGUCCUGGGCUCAACCUGGGAACUGCGCUUGAUACGGCAGAGCUAGAGGAUGGAAGAGGGUCGCGGAAUUCCCAGUGUAGAGGUAGAAAUUCGUAGAUAGUUGGGAAGAACACCGGUGGCGAAGGCGGCGACCUGGUCCAUUACUGACGCUGAGGCGCGACAGCGUGGGGGAGCAAACAGG